rnacentral:misc_RNA from 1 species
UAAUCACCAUCUCCUUUUGAUCUACAAGGCAUACUGAAAACUAUAUCCUGUGCUAUUCCAUAAGGAUUUCCAUUUGUAUAUACUCCAGUAGAAAACCAAUCUCCUUCAGGUGUAGGAGUGACAAGAGACCUUAUUGCAUCGACAAUCGACACAGCAGUUGAUGCAGCUGAAGAUCUACCCCAUUUCUGAAUAAGUACACCACCUCUCUUUUGGACUUUUUCAGUGAACUCUUCCUCUAACCAUUUAGUGUCUUUAAUCACCUCUUUGACUGGCAAUCCAUUAAUUUUAGCGUUUAAAAAGUCUGGAACCUGAGUUGUUGAGUGAUUGCCCCAAAUGGUAACAUUAGAUACUUUGUCAUAAAAGACUCCAGCUUUUAGAGCUAGCUGGCAUUUGGCUCUAUUUUCAUCUAACCUCGUCAAGGCGUGGAAGUUCUUUGC